UUUUAUUUUCCAUUUCCUAAACAUAACUAAGAAGCUUAUCCAGGGAAAUCAUUUUAGCUUUUUGCUGCUCCUUAUGUGCUUUAGAUUCAGCAAGACAAUUCAAACUUUGCAAGUUUUGGAAGACUAAUACCUAACUUUUUGGUAACUCGAAUGAAACAUGCACAUACAGAUCACCCUGAUUACACGAUUAAUGGAGAGGAGGUACAUGGGGUGGGGUCCUAGAACAUACUGUAAUGUAUCAGGAGAUGGCGGCGAGCUAGGUACUGGAGCGGCGAGGACUAAAGCUCUAGCAGCAUGAAGAUGUUUACUUGGUCAGGCUUUCUCUUCCCAGAACUGUAGAAGUCAAUCAGACACUCCCUAAAGAAACAUCAAAAUCCAACAAGUAAUGGGAGAAAGCAUGUCAGUAGUACAUAACUCCAUUAAACUACAUCCCGUUAUUACUAUAUAUUUAUAAAAAAUUGUCGGAUCUCAUCCAAGCUGAGCUUCUCAGGUCAGUCACCAUGAUUUCCAUCUAAUUUGAGUAUUUAUUUCGUCAAAAGGUACUAAUUAUAAGGUACAAACUAAAGAAAUCAGCAAACUUUCAUAGUUUGUACCUUAUAAUUGUUCAUUGCAAUGGGAUGGAUGCAUGAUUGUCCACUAUUAGUUUGAUUUUGGUAGCUCACUAGAGUUAUGUUCAUGGACUGUUGGAAGUAAUAUUAAUUAGGAUUUUGUAUUGUAUUAUCUCUGCCCACUAACUUUUUUGUUUAGUGUAUUAUAUAAUUCAUUUCUUUUACAGGUGCAAUGAAUCAUGGCGACUGGCCAACUUUUCUCUAAAACUACCCAAGCAUUAUUCUACAAUUACAAGCAACUUCCCAUCCAACAGAUGCUUGAUUUAGACUUCCUUUGUGGGAGAGAAACACCUCCUGUGCUUGAAUAACAAUCCUGGUUCUUAUGAUUUUUAGAAACUUUUCUUUGGACAAGUGAAAUUGCUAUUCCAGUUCAUCCCACUAUUAAAGUUGUCUAUAGUGCACACCCAACAGCUGAUGUAUUUAUCAACUUUGCAUCCUUCCGAAGUGUUGCUAUGUCUUCAAUGUCAGCUUUGAUGUGGCCAACAAUAAGGGUUGUGGCCAUUAUCGUUAGUGUGUUUCUGAAUCAGAUGUCGAGUAGCUAAUUUGUUAUGUGUCUGCUAAUAACAAGGUAAGGACUACUUAACCAACUGUUUUAAGAAAAAAAUAGAUGGUUCAUUUACAAGUUGUCAUCCGAACAAUACAUUUCCAUAUAUAGGAUUAUAUCCAUGUAUACAAGUUUAUAAAAAACUUUUGGUUCAUCGAAGACAAUGUUAUUGGCACACUCCAUGUCAUCUGCAUAUUGUCCCUUAUUUUUAGUAAAUAGUUUAAAUAC